AUUCCUCCAUGGUUAAACAAAUGUGUGUCAGGUAUUCAAUAAAAUUGAAACAAUAAGAUUGUCAAAAGUGUAGACAGUGGUGUCAGUAUAUGAAAGGAAGUUGAUUAGCUUUUUUGUAUAGUUUGUAUAAGUAAGGUGAUAUUGAUUGAUAAGUACAUUAUGAAAAGACCACUUCCAUUGGUUCAGAGUAAUCAGUGACUGAAAUAUGGUGACGGUGGCUUAUGAUGUGAAAGAAAUAAGAAGCAACCACUACACAUUGACUUAUCAUUAUAGAUAUAGACCUUAGAUUGAAGUCAUGUCAGAACAUCAGAUUUCCAACUACAUCAAGUUGACUUCUAAUCUUACGAUUACGAUGUAAAUUUUGAUGAAGAUGAACUCAUACAGAAAUCUUACCGAAGAACAGAAAGUUCUGAAUGGUGAGAAUGAACUGUUUGAAUAUUUAAAUGGUAUGGAAGAAGAGAAAAAUAACGAGGUAGAUCUUAUUGUGAACAGUCUGUGUAUGAAAUCCGUGGACAUGUCAAGCUUGUAAUUGGGCAUUGGCAUGAGCCGCCCUCAGUUCUCGCUAUUAUGAACAGAGUGUUUGCUGAUGGAAAAAGAAACUGGACUUUAGAGUGCGCUACUAGGAACGGGAAAAAGUGAGAACGAUAUUCUAAUGCUCAAGAAAUUUACAGAUCAAUUAUUAUGUUGCUGAUCAAAGCCCAAUGAGGUUUGCUGGUAGACAAAUUUCCAACAUUCAACUGUUUCGACUUCGACAAUAAAGAUACUAGUAGAGAGAAAUUGGCAACCGUAGAUGACACAAACUGUCAAUCAGAUUAAACCAUUGAUGAAGAGUACACGGAAACAACUGCUAUAUUUAAUACAGUUAAUUCUCCAUGAUCCUGAGAUCGUUCACAUUUAAUCCGCAUUUUCCUAUUCACUGUUGGGUUCAACCUUUCGUAUCGCAUUGUGUUUCAUGUACCUUGAUGUAAUUCUAGAUGGUAUGGCAUCAUCAAUUUUUACUUUUAUUCUUUGUUAACCUUAAAUAAUGAUUAAAUAUGUGAUGUGUAAGUUCCCUCGCAAACCAAUAUACACUAUUGCGAAAUUAUGGUCAGUUACUUGAUAGGGCUAUGCAGUCUUUAUUAUCUUUAUUAUUUAUAUUUUGUGAUAAGCAGAUAAAAAAGCAGAUAAGAGAAAAUAACUGAACCUCGAAUAAUAUAACUAUUAUUUUACAGAAUUCUAUGCCACAUUAGGGAGAUUUCACAACCUUACGAAAAUGAUAAGGAAUACGAAUACGUCAGUAUCCUCAUUAUCGUGAUGCGUGCCUAAAAAAGACUUGAAAAUAUGCUGUACAAGCUAAAUAUGAUUCUUGAUUCAUGCAAAAGGCAUGAAUUGCCUACAUUGACAAAUAUGCAACUAUAGGGGGAGGGUUGUCUAAACAUUUGAUGAUAGACGUAACCACAUUCGUUAUCAUUUUUGUAAGCUUGUGGAAACUCCAUAAAAAAAUAAAGCAAAACUAGUUUACCAUGCUGUCAUAAUAUUAUUAUUUCCAUUUAAAGUCAGGCUCCGGAAAACUUUUUUUCUUUUAGGUAUUUUGUUAAGAACUGAUUUUUUUUUUAAAAAGCAUAUUUGAUGAAAAACUUAGAAGCAGUUAAUGAGAUACAUAAUUUUGAAUAUUUAAAAACUGGGGAAAUAUUUAAUACGGAAACACCUAAUCACCUCAAUGGUGUUUUCAACAAGGCCGUAUUACGGCAUUGUACAGGCAAAAAUAGCCUUUUUGCCUUGAAAUCCUUUGAACAAUAGGUAAUUUUCUAUUUAGACAGUUAAGUAAAUUAGGGGGAGCAGCCUGUUUUCCUUAAAAUCCCACGCUCAAUAGGUAAUCUUCUGUUUAUCCUUUUUUGGUAUCCAACAUUACUUUGUAACAUUCUUAAUCCUGAAUAGUCUUUUGUGUCUGCCUUUCCCCUUUUUAGUUAAAAUGGACUCGUUAGUGUAAAAGAUGAUUUCAGUUGCCUUGAAAUUAAACCUUUUUCUAAGUUGAUAAUCCCUAGCGAUAAAUCCUUAGUUUCUAUGCUUUAAAACAGA